rnacentral:rRNA from 1 species
GAUGAACGCUGGCGGCGUGCCUAAUACAUGCAAGUCGAGCGAACAGACGAGGAGCUUGCUUCUCUGACGUUAGCGGCGGACGGGUGAGUAACACGUGGCUAACCUACCUAUAAGACUGGGAUAACUUCGGGAAACCGGAGCUAACACCGGAUAAUAUAUUGAACCGCAUGGUUCAAUAGUCAAAGACGGUUUUGCUGUCACUUAUAGAUGGAUCCGCGCCGGAUUAGCUAGUUGGUACGGUAACGGCUUACCAAGGCAACGAUGCGUAGCCGACCUGAGAGGGUGAUCGGCCACACUGGAACUGAGACACGGUCCAGACUCCUACGGGAGGCAGCAGUAGGGAAUCUUCCGCAAUGGGCGAAAGCCUGACGGAGCAACGCCGCGUGAGUGAUGAAGGUCUUCGGAUCGUAAAACUCUGUUAGUAGGGAAGAACAAAUGUGUAAGUAACUAUGCACGUCUUGACGGUACCUACUCAGAAAGCCACGGCUAACUACGUG